rnacentral:lncRNA from 1 species
CUAGAGUGGCUCAAAAAUAUUGUUGAAUGAAUGAAUGAAUAUUAAAAUGCUUGAAAACUUGUUCUAUUUUUUCAAAAGCCUAAUACAGUAGGGAAAACUUUAUUCAAAGAUUUGCAAAGAUUCCAUUCUCUAUAUAGCUUAGGUGUGGACCCUGUUGGUUUUUCAAAGUGCUCUUAUUUCACUGGGCUCCCAAAUGGAGCCCAUCACAGCUCUAACUCCCUUCCACACCAAAACCCAGAUGGGACGGAGCAGAGGAAAAGCUUCCAUUUCGGCCUCAAUAUUCUAGGGUGGUCUCUAAUUUGGCCUUGAAAACCACAUGACAUGGGCCUCCUGGGCUAAAACUACAGGGAACAUUCUGCUAAGGGAGCCCUCAGCUCCGAAGGUUCUGCCCACCCAUGGGCAGAUGUGGUCCUGGAUGGACGGCAAUGGAAGGCAGCCCAGGACACAAGGAACAAGGAAGAAAAAUACACAGGGGUGUAUUUUUCUGCUUAAUGACAAAUGGCCGUGGGACUCAAGGGGUUCUUUGUAACGUGGAGCUUCUUGAACUUUUCCACAUCAGCAUCCUCAGAGCAGAUGAAAACGAGUGCUCAACCCUGGGGGUUUGAGGGUCUAUUCUGAAGCGGAUCAGGUCAGCCUGGUUUUCCUAAAUUUCCUCUUGCUGAGAGAACAAGAAGCUUGAGUCAGACAGGGGGCUUUAAGGGUCUCUGGUCUAGUCUCUUUUUGUUGUUGUUGCCUUGAAAAACAGUUUCAAGGGAAAUUUUCCACGAACAAAGAUGAUUGAUUCUUUCGUUCCUGUUUCAUCACCAAAUGUACAUGCUGUCACUUGUAAAUGAACUAAUUCUCCACAGAUUCAGUCUCCAUGAUCAACUCCACUCACUCGUAUCUCAAAUUGCAUUGUCAUCGUAUCAAUCUCGACAAGUGCGGUAACGGCAAUAAAAUAAAAUUUGCACUAACUCAGACAAAAAAAAAUCGACUGAAAAGGGAAAUUUGGGAGGUAGGUUUUGCCAUUAGGUCAAACUGAAUCUACAUUUUUAUCCUUUGUCCCAAUGUCUACUUAAUCCUUCUUGAAGAGUAUUAAUUUGACCAUAAUUCACUCCCUGAACACUGGGACUGCCUCAUCUCCUGACAAAGGCAGCAGCAUCUUUAUAAAAAUCAUCAUUAAAGUGACUCCCCAUUUCAGUGUGAAGCUAGGAAAAAGACUGUAGCCAAAGGACUUUUAUUUCUACUCUUUUCAAUGCUCCACUGAAUGCAAUGAGAAGCCACGAGAAACUUUCUGAUGUGAGGUGCUCCUGGUAAAAUGAGGCAGGGCCUGCCGGGGGGAGUUCAGGAUGAGAAAUAACCUUGACGUCGGCAACCUCUGUGGCCCUUUGCCUGUCACAGAAUUGACCUUGUCUUUCCAAAGUGUUUGAACAUGUUCUUCCUAAUUAUCACUAUGCUCCAUAAAAUACAAAUCUGGUUAAAAAUUCCUCACCAGUUUCAUCUGACACAUGGCCAGUUUACACGCUUCUAAGUAAGAUCCUGUAGUAAUGUGUCUGAGCCUGGACCCUGGAGCUGACUGCUGGCCUUGGAACCCCACCCACCUCUACCAAUCUCUGGCUGUGUGACUUUAUCUUCCAAGUGCCUCAGUUUCCUUAUCUGUAAAAUGGGGCUAACAAUUACGAGGAUUUGAAUGAGUUAAUGUGCAUGAAGUGCUAAUGCCUGGCAGGCAGGAAGUGCUAUCAGUGUUACUCUAGCUGUCACUGCAUCUCACUGCACGUAAGAUGCCCUCAGUUGUAGGAAGCACCGGUGUUUGAUGCACCACUCAGAAAAAAAUGGUGCCCAUUCGACUAUGAUUCAAUGCUUUCUUCUCUCUUAACAUUUUUAUUUUAGACUUAUCGAAAGUACUUAGCCACUUAUUUAGACAGAUCAUGUCACCCUUGGGCACAUCUAAAGAGGAAAAUAUAAGUGAAAAAAAUUGGUUAAGCUAUUCUUAAAAUUUCUUCACAGAGUCCAAAUCUUCUUAGUGAUUUUCAACUCAGUGUUGUCAGUGUUCAUAUUUUUCAACACAAAGUCACCCCUAGGCCAUCAACAGCAUUGACGAGGAAGCAUUUCUUUCAAGGGUGCUGCGCUGCGAUUCUGACAGAAGGUGUCAGGCGAUGACAACCCUGUCAUGACCUUGUGUCAAUGACAAUAAGACACUGAGCAUAAGACAUCCGAAUUACACAGCUGCUAAGAAUGUGUGUGUCUGCGGGAGGGGCUGCAUCUUGGACUCAAUGAAAUACGUUAGUACUGUUACACUCUCAUUAUAAAUAGAACAGACAAAGCUCACUAGAUGGUUGAACCAUCCGAGUCCAUGCCUUCGUCUCGUUGUAAAGAACGACGAACCUCGAUCGGGAUCUCAACCAGUUGUCCACAGGCAUCUUUUAAGCAUAUCAAUUUGUCAUUCCACAAGGACACGGUGUUCAGCGUGGCUGUUUAAUUCUGACCCAAACCAGGUGCAUAUAAGUCGUUACCAAAGUUUCUCCCGGCAUGCGCAGGUCACCAUCCAAGGAGUUCUGAAAGGAAAGGUCAAGCCAUCUUUUAUUCGUGUGUCUGAUUUCACAUGGGAAGGAGAAAGAAGCUAGCACCGUGUUGAUUCUCUCAGACCGUGUCUUCUCGGCGUCCCCUCUGGGUUUUGCCCACAAUUCCAGGGGCUCACCCCUACGUGUGGUUGAACAGUGGUUCUCUCUCAAAUCUGCCUGCAGUACAACCACCUGCAGAGCUCGGUAAGAACGCAGAUACAAGGAGCCCACUGGGGAACUGGACGAAAGCAGACUCUGUAAGUGUGACCCAAGAAUAUGCAUUUACAAGGACUGGCCCCUCCCCAUGAUUCUGAAGCAACCAAAGCUUAAGGGUCACAGCUCAAGAGAAAAAGACGGUAGGAAAAAGUGGGCAAAAGGUGGGACAAGGGCCACAGGGGGAGGGGAGCAUGAGGAAAGGUCGUUUCUACAGAACAUGUUUUCAAAGACUGGUUCCGCUUUCCAAAAAGUGGAACAGCUUUUUAAAGGUAGUAUGUUGACUUUGUAGUGUUGUGAAAAUGGAAUGAAAGAUGCAGAGGACGCCGUGGAGAGGGCUGGGGUUAGCAUGCUUUCUGCCUCCAUCGGAGGCCCAAUUCCAGCUGCGUGAGACAAUGGGGAAACACGCGGGCCCACCGAGGAGGAAGUCAGAGGUGUGGGCCAGCAGCUCGCUGAGCUCACGUCCCUGUCCAUCCCUCCACCCUGCCACUCACACUGCGAGAUCAGAGGUUGACUGCCAGGAAAAUGGGGGCAAUGUGCUCACCAAGCAGACCCUGGAUGACCGCCACCAACCGGUUCACCUGCUCGGAAAUGAAAUAAAAUACGGAGUCCGCUGUAGAAUGGUUUAAGGGGUAUUUUUAACUACUCAUAAUCCCAGAAGUCUUACAAAGUAAUUAUUUUCAUUUAUUAAUGAUGGUCUUCUAAUUUUAAUUCUUAUAAAUCCACAUAAUGUUUACACGGUUAUAAUCACAGCAUAUAUAUGUGUGUGUGUAUAGUUUUUUGUACAAUUUUUUUUUCUUAAUAUUAUUCUGUAAGCCUUUUUUCAUGUUUUAUAGCUGCCGUAUAAUUUUAACUAACAGCUUGGCAUUACUUUUUAUUGACACACCUCAGCUCACUUAACCAGACUCCACGAUUUCUUCCAGUUGUUCCCUAUUACGGGCAAGGCUGUGAUGACCACCUUUGCAUAUGGCAUUUUUACACACCUACUGCUUAGACUGAUUUUCGUUUUCUCUCCUGUCCUGUGGAAGACAGAACCCUUCUUGGAGCCUCCGCAAACCACUCCUCAGCUUCUUUUGGUCACAUGUUCAUUCCUGAACCAAUCACAGGGAGGGGGCGGGGAGUGUCCUCACACCAACCAGUCCUACCCCAGAGCUGCCUACAGCGGGGCCUGAGCUGUGGCUGGCGCACAGUUACUGACUACUUGGUGAAUGAAUGAAUGAUUUAUUAAACAAGACAGCCCAGCAUCAGUAAGCAAGCACCCGAGAUCAACCUUGAAUCUUGGCAUUCUCAAAUGUCACCUUGGUUCUUGACACACCCAUUGCUUUCACUGACUAAAAAUAUGUAUUGGGGAUUGACAGCAUGGCAGAGAAACCCAACUCUUUGGGAAAUUAUUGAACUAUAUCAAUUAUACGGAAAUUUAUUCCUAAUGUCUCACUAUGGGCUAUCUUCCCCACUUCCCAUCUUCUCUUUUUUGCCCUAGAAAGAAGUUUCAUCAGUCACAAAAAUACCAAGGAAGAGGAGGAGGAGGAGACAACCUUGAUGGUCCCAGAGGAGGACAACCAUGACAGUGUGUAAGACUUUUUAAAUUAAUUUCUACUGCCUUCAUUAGUUAAAGUUGCCAACUUUAACUAAUGAACUAAUGUGAUUGCUAUUAUUAGUAUUUAUCUUCAUUAAACUUGAUCGGAUUAAUUCUCUCCUUUGCACACUGAAAGUUACUGGGAACAUUUCUUCCUUCUCCUGCUCCUCCUCCUAAUAAUGAUGAUGAUGAUGAUGAUGAUGACGAUGAUGAUAGCAAACACAGAUUGAGACUUACCGUGUGCAGGCUCUGUUUUAAGGCCUUUAUAUGUGUCAACUCAUUUAAUCCCCAACAUCCUAUGAAAUAGGAACUAUCUCCGGAUUUUACAGGUGAGGAAACUAAAACACUGAGAGCCUCCCUGAUCUGGGGCACUGCCAAGACCUUGAAGCAGAGGGAUCUGCCCACCCGCUAGCUGGGCAUGUUGUAAAUAUGAGUCCGCUACCUAUAACUUGGAUUUCCUCUGGACCAUAAAGAUUGGGCAAUUCCAUUAACUCAUCAUAUUCGUUAGGAAAGGACAGGACAGGCUACAGUGACAAGCAGUCCCCAAAUCCUAGUGGCUGAGUACAACAUAAGUUUGUUUCUUACUCAUAUAAGCAGGUGGCUGCAGAUAAUAAUCCAGCGCGGCCAUUCUCCGUGCAGUGACUCACAAGCCAGGCUGCUUCAAUCCAUCUCAAGAAAGGGCCUCCACAUUCAUCGUGGAGGGAAGAGAGAGACAGAAGCAGCCACGAGGGCCUUCCACUCGCUCAGCCUGGGAGCAACAUACUUCCUUUCUGCUCGCUUUUCACUGGCCAGGACUAGUCACCAGUCAUGCACUUCUGUCCACAGGAGGAGAGAAUUGGGUAUUGAUGAGCACUGGUAAUGUCCACCAUACCCAUUCCUUCCUUCCUUCCUUCCUUCAUUCCUUCAUUCAGCAAGUACCUUCUAGGCCAAAGCAAUGUGCUAGACACCGGGAAUAUAAAGAUAAAAGAUAGGACAUUGAGCCCUUCUUUUUUUUUUUUCACUCUGUUUUUCCCACUGUGAUAGGCUGAAUAAUGGCCCACCAAAGAUGUCCGUGUCCUAAUCUCUGAAACCUCUGGAUAUGUUACCUUACAUGGUUCAAAGAGAAUUUACAGAUGUUAUUAAGGUAAGGAACUUGAGAUGGGAAAAUUAUCCUGGAUCUUCUGAAUGGGUCCAAGGUAAAAAGGAUCCUUAAAAGAGGGAGGCAAGAGGAUCCGAGUCAGUAGUAGGAGAUGUGGCGAUGGAAGCAAGAGGUCACAGCGAUGCAAGAAAGGGGUCAUGAGUCAAGAAAUGUGGGUGGCCUCUGGAAGCUGGGUAAGGCAAGGAAACAGAUUCUCCGCUGAAGUCUCCUGAAAGAAUGUGGCUCCACCAACACCUUGAGUACAGACUUCCGGCCUCGCGAACUGUAAGAGAAUCAUUUGUGCUGCCUUAAGCCACUAAGUUUGUGAUCACUUAUUUCAGCAGCAGGAAAUGAACAGAUCUGCUGCUGGGGCUGGGAUGGGAAAGGCACAAAAGUCAGUCACAGGGACGAUGAUCAAAAGAACUGCUAAUGUCCUUCGAGUGCUUACUCUGUGCUGAGUAUCUAUCUAGAUUCAAGCUCCCCAAAACAUGAGAGUCAUUAUUAUCCCCAGGUGACAGAUGGGAACCUGGUUAAGUAACUUUCCCAUGGUGGCACAGCCUGAGUGGUUCAGUCAGGAUUGGGACUUAGUCCAGAAUCUAGGAAAGACGCUGCACAAGACUUGCCCAAGGCACCCUGUUAGUGGCAAAGGCAGGACCAACCUUGGGCCCCUCAAUGGACUCCAGAGGACUCUUUCCUCAAAGUAUAUUUACUGAGGGGAGGGCUCACUGUGCCACUGCGGGGGCUGGCUCUGGGGGGCUGUGGUGUUGAGGAGCCAGGCCUGGAAGAGGAGGGGGGAGAUCUUCAGGAUUCUGCUCCAGGCCUGGCUGGGGGUGUCACUGCUCCCUAACUACAUGGAGGCUCCAGGUGGCCCCUCUUGUCUCUGCGUGGGUGUUCUUGUCUCCGUGUGGACAUUGUUGUCCCAGUGUGGAUGCUCUUGUCUCUGUGUGGAUGCUCUUGCCUCCGUGUGGACGCUCUUGUCUCCGUGUGGACUCUUGUCUCAGUGUGGACGUUCUUAUCUCCGUGUGGACACUCUUGUCUCAGUGUGGACGCUCUUCUCUCAGUGUGGACGCUCGUGUCUCCGUGUGGACGUUCUUGUCUCCGUGUGGACGCUCUUCUCUCAGUGUGGACGCUCGUGUCUCUGUGUGGACGUUCUUGUCUCCGUGUGGAUGCUCGUGUCUCCGUGUGGACGUUCUUGUCUCCGUGUGGACGCUCUUAUCUCCGUGUGGACGCUCGUGUCUCCAUGUGGACACUCUUGUCUCCAUGUGGACACUCUUGUCUCCGUGUGGACGUUCUUGUCUCCAUGUGGACGCUCUUCUCUCAGUGUGGACACUCUUGUCUCCAUGUGGACACUCUUGUCUCCAUGUGGACGCUCUUCUCUCAGUGUGGACACUCUUGUCUCCAUGUGGACACUCUUGUCUCCAUGUGGACGCUCUUCUCUCAGUGUGGACGCUCUUCUCUCAGUGUGGACACUCUUGUCUCCAUGUGGACACUCUUGUCUCCGUGUGGACGUUCUUGUCUCCGUGUGGACGUUCUUGUCUCCAUGUGGACGCUCUUCUCUCAGUGUGGACGCUCUUCUCUCAGUGUGGACACUCUUGUCUCCAUGUGGACACUCUUGUCUCCGUGUGGACGUUCUUGUCUCCGUGUGGAUGCUCUUCUCUCAGUGUGGACGCUCUUCUCUCAGUGUGGACACUCUUGUCUCCAUGUGGACACUCUUGUCUCCGUGUGGACGUUCUUGUCUCCGUGUGGAUGCUCUUCUCUCAGUGUGGACGCUCUUGUCUCCAUGUGGACGUUCUUGUCUCCAUGUGGACGCUCUUGUCUCCGUGUGGAUGCUCGUGUCUCCGUGUGGACGCUCUUGUCUCUGUGUGGACGCUCUUCUCUCAGUGUGGACGCUCUUGUCUCAGCAGCUGCUUUUUGGUGCUUCUGACAUCUCCCAGGAGCCUCCAGUCAGCACCACCCUCUCGAGCCGUAGCAUAUUUGCAGGGAAGUCUGAGAAAGAGUUACAAACUCCACCAGCCCAGAGCUCCUGGGGUCCUUGCAGGCUCUAGCCUCUCGAGUUUGUCUCACUGAAAGAACAGAAUCUGCCCCACGGACCGGUCCUGCUGAGCUGAACUUCUCCAAUCCACCCGCGGCCCUGCAAGCAACUGUGUGUUCUGAGCGCCACCUAGUGGUGCUGGGGCCCCCGGAGUGUCUUCUCAAACCUGGUCUGGAGGAAGGGGCUCCUACCUCCCCUCUUCUGAGGCCUCUCCAGGGAGGCUCAGGUGACUUGGAGGGUCUCCAGCCCUCUCAAGUUCCAGGACACUUUAGAGAAGCCCAAAGCCAGCUGGUUCCCUGAAACUCUGCGAGUUUCCAUGGGGACUGCCCCAUCCUGGGCUCUGCCUGAGGGUCCAAGAUGCUGGUUCUGGGUGGGGAAAAACGCUUUUUGUCAUUUAUCAGCUCUAUAACCUGAAUGAGGGCAGGGAAGGUGUGUGGAGGAAGCAGCAUCUCAUUGCAAUGUGAGAUGAACUAAUAAAGGAAAGCGAAUUUUAAAAAGCUGUUGAGAACAGACAGUAUUUGACAACUUAGAUAAAAUGGGCCAGUUCCUCGAAAAACACUCACUCAAUAUGAACUAGAUAAUCUAAAUAUGCCUACAACUGUUAAGGAAAUUGAAUCUGUAAUUUAAAAACUUCCCUAAAAAGAAAUCUCCAGAUACAGAUGGUUUCACUGGAGAAUUUUACCAAGUUUUUAAAGAAGAAUUAAUACUGUCUCUAUAUAUUCUUUAUCAGAAAAUACAGGAAGAGGGAACACUUCCCGAUUCACUUUAUGAAGCUAGUAUUACCCUGAUAUCAAAACCAGACAAAGACAGUACAAAAAAGAAAACUACAGAUCAAUAUUCCUCAUGAAUAUAGACACAAAAAUCCUUAAUGAAAUAUUGACAAGUAGAACUCAGCAAUAGAUAAAAAGAAUUGUACUCCACGACCAAAUGGAAUUUAUCCCAAGGAUGCAAGGCUGAUUCCAUAUUCAAAAAUCUAUCAGUGGAAUCCACCAUAUUAACAGGCUAAAGAAGAAAAAUCACAUGAGCAUAUAAAUUGAUGCAGAAAAGGCAUUUGACAAUAUUCAACGCUCAUUCAUGACAAAAACUCUCAGAAAAUUGAGACUAGAGGAACACUUUCUUACCUUAAUAAAGAACAUUUGCAAAGAAACACCCACAGCCAACAUACUUAAUGGUGAAGAACUGAACGCUUUCCCCUUAAGAUUGGGAACAAGGCAAAGAGGUCUUCUCUGACCACUCUUAUUCAACGUAGUGCUGUCAGUUAUACCCAGUGAAGUACGGGAAGAAAAGUCAUACAGACCAGAAAGGAAGAUGUGUUUGCAGAUGACAUGAUUUUCCACGUAGAAAAUCGCCAAGGAAUCUACAAAAAUAUCCUCAAACUACUAAGUGGGUUUAGCAAAGUCACAAGAUACAAGAUAAAUAUACAAAAAUCAUUGUAUCUCUAUAUACUAACAAUGAACACAUGAACAUCAAAAUUUUAAAAACAAUACCAUUUACAAUUGCUCACAAAAAGAUGAAAUACUUAGGUGUAAAUCCAACAAAAUGUGUACAGAACUUGUAUGCUGAAAAUUAUAACAUAUUUAUGAAAGAAAUCAAAAAGAGAUCUAAAUACAUGAAGAGAUAUACCACGUUCAUGGAUUGGCAGACUCAAUAUAGUAAAGAUGUUGAUUCUCCCCAAACUGAUGUACAAGUUUAACCCAAUUCCUAUCGAACUCCCAGCAAGGUUUUUGUCGAUGCAGACAAGAUUAUUCUAAGCUUUACAUGAGAAAGCAAAGGAACUGAAAUAGCUAAAACAAUUUUGAAAGAGAAGAAUAGAGUGGGAGGAAUCGGUCUACUCAAUUUCAAGACUUAUUAUAAAGCCAAAGUAAUCAAGAGCAUGUGGUAUUGGUGGAGGAAUAGACACAGAAAUCAAUGGAACAGAAUAGAGGACCCAGAAACGGAUCCAUACAAAUAUGCUCCACAGAUUUUUGGGAGGUGCAAAAGUAAUGCGAUGGAGGAAAGACAACCUUUUCAAUACAUAGUGCUGGUGCAAGUAGACAUCCACAGCCGAAAAAGAAACCUAAAACAAAACCAAAAAACCCAGAACCUAAGCCACACACUUUAUACAAAAAUUAACUCUAAAUGGGUCAUGGACUUAAAGGCAAACAUAAAACUAUAAAACUUUUAGGAAAAGACCUAGGAGGAAAUCUUUGGCGUCUAGGUUUAGGCUGUUUGAAUUUAAUUUUUAAAUACAAAACAUAUGAUAAGCUAUUUGGAAGAAAGUAGGAAGCAUUUUCUUUUCUUCACCUUGUCAUUUGCUGCCCAUUCCUACAGAGAUGAUGAAAUCUUGCGGGAAACUUUUUUAAACUACCCAAGCCUUUCCAGAGAUAGCAUUCACUUGGUCCAGGGUCAGACCUGGGCAUCUGUAUUUUGGAGAGCUCCCAGGUGAUUCUAAUGUGCAGCCGCAUUGAGAAGGACUUUGUGACAUGAAGAGCUCCCACAAAGCACCUCGGUACAGCGCUUCUCCAAGGGUGGUCCCACCCAACCCACAGCAUCAACCUUGCCUGGGAGCUGGGAGAAAUGCAUAUUCUCAGGCCCCACCCCAGACCUGCUGAAUGAGAAACAGCCAUCUGUGAAUUAACAAGCCCUCCCUCCAGGUGAUUCUGAUGCCCACUCACGGCUGAGAACCUCUGCCUCAGUAGACACAAUCUGACAACAGACAGGAGCAGCUGGUUCACGACAAAGAAAUAUAUCUGGUCAAAAAGCGCCAAGAGCAUUGCUCAAGCUUCCUGGUGAUCAAAAGAAAAGCAACAUGAAAACCACAGGGAAAUCCCAUUUGAAACCUGUCAAAUGAGCAAAUUUGGAAAUAAAUCAAACGAAAGAUAAUACUUAACGCUCUCUGUUCACCCAACUAGGGUAACCAACCAUCCCAGUUUCCCUGGGUCUGAAGGGGUUCCCGGAAUUGGCGGCUUUCUAUGCUAAAGCCAGGACGAGUUGGUCACCCUACACAAGACUCAUCAGAUGGGUGUAAUUAUUGCUUACUCUCUGUUUUCCAUCUUAGACAGGGAUCUGUAGGGGCAGGACCCGGUGUGUCUUGGAUUAUGUGUGUCCUGUGUUACAGCCUGGUCCACAGCCUUGUACAUAACAGAUGUUCCAUAAAUAUUUGGAGAUGGAAGCAACAGAGGGAAAGAGGGAAGGACGGAAGGUAGAGAGGAAGGAAGAUAGACAACUGUUGGGCAGUCAGUCACUCCCUCAGCCCUUCUACACUACCAGACACGUACCACGAUUAUAGUGCUGACUGCAUCACAUGAUAGCUGCUUAUUUAUAGGUCUUUCUCCCUCUAUAAGCCAUGAGCUCCUCCUGUGCAUGGACUAUGUCCUACCCACCAUCAUGCAAUCAAAAGUGUCAGAGCCUGGAUGUUAGGAGAAUGGGUGCUGAGCUCAGUCUUCCUGGCUUCAAAUCCUAACUCUAAGGAUUAUCAGCUGUGUGACCUUGGACAAGCUAUUUCACCUUUCUCUACCUCAGCAUCCUCAUCCGAGAAAUAGGUAUGAAAAGAAUAACACGGGACCCACCUCAUGGGGUUGUUGUGAGAAUUUUAUACCCCUUAAUGCAUGUAAACCAUUUAGAAUGGUGCCUGGAAUAUACAGUGCUCCUUACUGUUAGCUAUAAUUAUUAUUAUUAUGGGAAGGGAACCCACAAACACAUCUGAGGGGUUGAAGUAAUCUCGUGGUGACCAGGAAGCUCAGGUGGCUGUAUUUUCUGGAUGGUGGGUAGACAGCAGUCUCUCUACCUCCAAAAGGUCAGGGGGAGCUUUUCAGGGUUGGGAAGAUGAUGUACGAAGGCUGCGGGCUGUCGCUGGGCUUCCCUUGUCCAUGUCCCCCUGAAGUCAUAUCUCCAUGAAGACCAGAUGCUCCACCGCCCUGGGGUCCUCAGAACUCCCGGCCUACAACUGGACUUCACACGCACUGUGAGUUGAGGGGUAAGGGGCUCUCACUGGAAAGUCAGGUCCAGGUGAGCAGACCCUUCGCUUCAUCACUGAAUCCCCAGGACCUAGUUUCUGGCACAGAGUAGUUGUUCUGGAGCUACUUGGUAAAUGACUAAUUUUAAUAAGUGUAAAUACUGUUCUUAAUCCUAGUUGUCUAUCAGUGCCCAGACCCGCCUCACCUCUGGUCCUGCCCUUGACCCUGCACCCUCUAGCUGGGUCCUUCCUGCUGGGUCAUGAGCCAGGAAGCAGAAUGGCUAUAAACAAGUUACUCCACUGGUAUUUACCCAAAGGAGUUUAAAACCUGUGCCCAUGCGAAAACCUGCGCACGGGUGUUUAUAGCAGCUUUCUUCAUAAUUGUCAAGCUACCAAGGUGUCCUUCAGCGGGCGAAUGGAUAAAUAAACUGUGGUACAUCCAGACAAUGGAAUAUUAUUCAGCAUGAAGAAAAAAUGAGCUAUCAAGCCAUGAAAAGACAUGGAGGAACCUUAAAUACUUAUUAUUAAGUAAAAGAAGCCCAUGUGUAAAGGCUAUGUAGCAUAUGAGUUCAACUAUGUGACAUUCUGGAAAAGGCAGAACUAUGGAGACAAACAGGGGACAGCCCGGUGGUGUAGUGGUUGAGCUCACACCCUCCAUUUCAGCUGCCCGGGGUUCACAGUUUCAGACCCUCGGUGCAGACCUAGCACUACUCCUCAAGCCAUGUUGUGGUGGCAUCCCACAUAAAAUAGAGGAAGGCUGGCACAGAUGUUAGCUCAGCAACAGUCGUCCUCAAGCAAAAAGAGGAAGAUUAGCAACAGACGUUAGCUCAGGGCCAAUCUUCCUCACCAAAAAAAAAAAAAAAAAAAAAAAAAAACUAUGGAGACAGGAAAAGAUCAGUGGUUGUCAGGGGUGGGGGGAUGGAGGGAUUAGCGGGGCACAGGGCAUCUUCAGGGGAGGGAAAUUAUUCUGAAAAAUGAAAUGGCUCCAUCUGUGAGCCCCCAGGACUCUGCCUUUCCUCCUGGCCCCUCAACUUGAGAGUCAGCAAAGGGAAAGAGAACACGCUGGAUUAAAUAGGCAGGAGCCUAAAUCGUCUUCUUCAUCACCAUCCUUUAUUAGGAACCCAACAUGAGAGCCUGUUUGUCCUGGCUCAUCGCCGGCAUUCACAAGUGUUCUUUGCUCCAAGGCGCUAAGCAAGCCUUGUUGUUGUCUCUGCAGUGGAGGUGACCAUGCAGUUGGGUGUAAUGAGGUCAUCCAUCCAGAACUGAGUGUUUGAGAAACCAAUAAAGGCUGAACUAGCACCAGACUUCCCCCUGCCCCCAGAACGAAUCAUGCCUCCUGUGGGUCCCCACGGGGACGUGCCACCAAUGCCACUUUAUCAAGCUGACCUCUUCCUCUCUUUCCUUUUCCUAGACCAUGCCAGGGACCCCAUUCAUUCCUCAUUUUUAGCUAGCCCCCACUACGAGGUGGCAGGUCCUAUUGUAACCCUGGAAGACAGAGAUGAAUAAGACAUAGCCACAGCCCCUGGGGCGUGUACAGUUCAGGAGCCUCCUGUCCUGCUCAUUCCAGCUGCUUUGGCAUUUAGCACAGCACCUGGCAAAUGAAAGACGUGUUUGUUGAAGGCAUGGAUGAGAAUCCCUAAGUGACCCCACAUCAGAGUGCAGAACGUACCGUAACUAAAAUUCAUUCUGGCGCUUCGGCCACCUAGGUCUGGGCCCCCACACCUGGGGAGGGGCAGUCAUGAGGACAGGAAGGGUCCUAGUCACAUAAGGACAGAACGUGUCCUUUGUCACUGCAGAUCAAUAGCCAGCGCAGCCAGCUCAGCGUCCUGACCACCCAGGGCUGCCCUUUGGGUGAGAGCGGGAUGCAAACAGAACUGCUCUUUCAGGAGUGGAAAUGGAUUGGCUGUGUUCUUUCUUAGCCUUUUAUUUAUUUAUUUUUUAACGAAAAUGGGACCAUAUAGUAUAUACUAUUUUAUAACUUUGGGGUUUUUCCCCCUACUUAACAGCAUAAAAUGGGCCUGUGACCUGUGACCAUGAGCGGGCCAUUUUAUACAGGUCCACAGCCUUAGCUGAAGCCCUCAGGACCAGCCGUAUUUCAGAAUUCAGAAGUUUCCGGGCAUUAGAGAAGCACUGCGCGUACGUUCUGUGCACCGUGUCACAUCUCCAGCAGGUUCUGGGACAGACUCACAAGCCACCUCGUUAUUAAUAUUUCCUCAGUGAAAUAUGCGAACAUUGACCAUAAGUGAGCUAAAUCAAGACCACAAAGGGCCUGCGAGCAGCUCAGGGCAAGUUCCGCCACUAUAUGAGUUUGGGAGCUAGAAGUAUGUUUAAAAAAAAACACAACUUUCAGUGUUCAGAAUUCUUGUAAUUUGGAUUUAUGGAGAAGGGAACAUGGUAUAGCCAUUAUACAGUCGUUCUGCUGCCUUGUGAGGGAAACUGGCUUAACAGGACAGAAGGAGGUGGGGCAGGAUAAGGAUUAAGUCAUUAGCUUGGGAAGAAAAUCCAUCUGUAUUUGGAUCCUGGCUUCACCAACUACAAGCUGGGUGCCCCUGGGCCAGUAGCUUGCCCUUUCUGGGCCUCAUCUCUGAAGAGUACACAUACCCCUGAGCUGUGGAGAUUACAAAAGAUGAAGCAUAUAGAGCGUGUAGCAUACACCUGACUAGUGCUGAACAGAGGAGAACUGUUAUUGAACUUGCCCUGGUAAAUGGUAGAGCUGGGAAAUGAAAGCCCUUGCUGUUCCUGUAAUGCCAGCGGACCCAGGUGAACACUUAGGCCUUUCUACUCGUCAGCCCCCACAUCUGACCCUCAGGAUUCUGCUCUGACUCACCUAAGUGGAGGCCCAGAAAUGUGGGUGGAAGGAAGGGCCCCUCAGGAGCUGUGGUGGGAUCUCUCUCGUGCCCCCAAAUGGCUUCUGCCUGUCAUGGUGGCACUGGGGCACCCUGUCUCGCUGGCGCCUCCGAAGAGACCUAUUUCGGUGUCCCAGGGUGUGGCUGUUGUCAGUGAAGGCCUGGGGAGUUCGAAACUGCAGCUCCAGGAGCAAGUCAACCCGACCCCCGGGCAGGACACCGGCAGGUCCCACAAGGAGUCACACUGUCUGGUUAAGGACAUGGCCGUCCAGCGGAAAGAGGUGUGAGAAUGGGCAAAGCUUUGCUUUCCGUGAGUGCUGGGGUCCUCGGUCAGACCACAGGUAGCUGCCGGGCUGGGCGCCGGGAGGAGGGCAGCUGGAGCGGCCAGGAGCCAGAGGUCUGGGCUUGGCCUUGGGGACGGAGCAGAGGGGAGGGGUGGGGGCCGAGGCAAGGCUUCUGUCCACACGUUCCAACCACACACACACACCCGGGGGCACAAAACUGCACCCAUGGGUUGUUUACUAAAAGUGAAAAAAAAAAGGAACAGGAGGAAGAACAGACCUGGAAAUAAAAGGCUGAAAAGCUCUCUGUCAAAUGCCCGCUGUGGACAGAGUUGCACCAGCACAGAUUAUAGCACCUCAGUGGCCGGAGGCUCCGUGCCCCGAGGACGCUGAGACGGCUCGCGUUUGCCAAGAAUAACUUGGUCAGGGCUGGACUGCUGGGCACCUGGAGGCGGGGAGACGGAAAUUUUCAGAAGCCCCCUCUCCAUGAGGCCUUUCACAGCUCAGCAACCAGACCCUGGAAAACAGCAAACAGCUGGCUCGUCUGUUUAGAAAGUACUGCAGGGCUUUCUUUAAAAAGAGUUGUGAAAUAUUCUAGAAUCCACUGUAAAACAUUAUCAAAAGUCUUUCCUAAUUGCUCAUAAGCCCACUAAUUUUGUACAAUAAUAACUUUAUUUCUAAAUGCGCCUUCCAAUCUUAAACUAUAUAGACUUACCUGUUUAUGUUGUUUUAAUGACAGCGUUAUUAAAUUUCAUCUGUAUCCUUUUCCUCUAUACUCCAUAAACGCUUUUUCAUGAUUUUUUAGUCCUCAUGUUAAUUCUAAUAGUAGCAUCCAUUUCAUUGUUGUCAAUGCCACAGAUUUCUUAACCAGACUGUAAAAAAUACUUUUUCACUAUUAUAAAUAAUGCUGUGACGAACAUCUUCAUAUCUGUGGUAUUUUCACAUACCAACUACUUGACUUCAUUUUCAGUUAUUUAUUCAACAUUAUACGUACUGGAUGCCUACUAU